rnacentral:rRNA from 1 species
AUUGAACGCUGGCGGCAUGCCUUACACAUGCAAGUCGAACGGCAGCACGGGUGCUUGCACCUGGUGGCGAGUGGCGAACGGGUGAGUAAUACAUCGGAACGUACCUUAUCGUGGGGGAUAACAAAUUGAAAAAUUUGCUAAUACCGCCUAAUACUCGGAGGAGGAAAGCGGGUGAUUCGUAAGAACCUCGUUCGAUUAGAACGGCCGAUGGCUGAUUAGAUAGUUGUUGAGGUAAAGGCCCACCAAGGCAACGAUCAGUAGCAGGUCUGAGAGGAUGAUCUGCCACACUGGAACUGAGAAACGGUCCAGACUCCUACGGGAGGCAGCAGUGGGGAAUUUUGGACAAUGGGGGCAACCCUGAUCCAGCAAUGCCGCGUGAGUGAAGAAGGCCUUCGGGUUGUAAAGCUCUUUUGUCAGGGAAGAAACAGCAGCUCUAACACAGUUUGCGAAUGACGGUACCUGAAGAAUAAGCACCGGCUAACUACGUGCCAGCCGCCGCCGUAA